rnacentral:rRNA from 1 species
AUUGAACGCUGGCGGAAUGCUUUACACAUGCAAGUCGAGCGGCAGCGCGGGGCAACCUGGCGGCGAGCGGCGAACGGGUGAGUAAUACAUCGGAACGUGCCCAGACGUGGGGGAUAGCCCGGCGAAAGCCGGAUUAAUACCGCAUGAGAUCUAAGGAUGAAAGCAGGGGACCUUCGGGCCUUGCGCGUUUGGAGCGGCCGAUGGCAGAUUAGGUAGUUGGUGAGGUAAAGGCUUACCAAGCCUGCGAUCUGUAGCUGGUCUGAGAGGAUGAUCAGCCACACUGGGACUGAGACACGGCCCAGACUCCUACGGGAGGCAGCAGUGGGGAAUUUUGGACAAUGGGCGCAAGCCUGAUCCAGCCAUUCCGCGUGCAGGAUGAGGGCCCUCGGGUUGUAAACUGCUUUUGUACAGAACGAAAAGGGCCGGCUAAUAUCUAGGUUUCAGACGGU